CUAGGCGGCUGCACGGGCCUCCCUGCUGGGGCUCCGCUCCCCGGCGUGAGCCCGCGCGCCCUCCGCAGCGAGGUCCCUGCGCUCCCGGCCCGGAGUGAGUUCCCCUCCCGCCCGCCUCCUCCGGCAGGCGGCAGCGCCUGUUCUUGAGGUCUGGAAGUGACAGAGUCCAAGAAGAUUACGUGACUUCAUGAAGAUAGUAUAGCUGAGAAACUGAGAGGAAGUUUGGGCGACAUGCUCAGGAUCAUCCAGCUGGUCAGCUGUCUCCAGUCCUGAGGUCAUCACUCAUCAGAGGGGAUAAUCCCAAGGACAGCAGGAUCUGCUUCGUCACUUGGAUUUAGGAGCAAGAAACCCAUCAGGCAACUAAACAGUAACAAUGACCCACAUUUAAACACACUGAGAGAAGAGCAGGAGGAAGAGAUUGUGCAAGAAUCCAGGAGCUCUUGCUGACAAUGCCUAUGGAGACACUGAUCACUGUGCGCUCCAUCCAUUGAACUGUAGUAAAAACUCUCCCUCCCCCUCCCCCCCAGAGACAUUUGGAUGUGGGCACAGCAUCAGUUCAGACAGUGGUCUAUCUUUGGAUCUGGCCUGGGGAGGGCAGGGAGACCUGGGUUUGAAUUGGUAUUCUGCCACUUCUUUGUAGUAUGGUUUGGCAACAUUUUAAAAUCUCUCCGAGUCUCAGUUUUCUUGUCUACAAAAUAAAGCUAAUACCUACACAGGAGCUUUUAAAAGGAUCAAAUGCAACAGAGUCUGAAAAACACAAGUUAGGCCCUUCUCUUUAUGGAGAAAGAGAAAGGUGUGGGGCCAAAAAUGAAACAAUGAAUGCUAUUCUCAAAAUUAUCCUUUUUCCUUGGCACUCAUCUCAGAAUGUAUGCUUGUGUCUUUAGUUCAAAUACCAGGGAAAAAAGAGAGAGAGAGAGAAAUGAGGAAAGGCAGGAAGUCAGAUUCUGGCUUUUACCCAAGAAAAUUCACUCAAAGUAAUUUUCAGGAUUACUCUCCUUCCUCAAACACUAGGGUCACAAGGCAUUUUGCCAAACAAGUCAGCAGCCUGGCAGAUACUUCAAACUGAUUCUGAGACCAAAUGACAGGUCUUUCGUGCCAUAUGCCACUAACACGUUAAUCUAGGCAAGGAUGCUAGACACCUGGGGACAUCCAUGCCAAAAUGCCAUUUAGGCAGGGCACCCCAAAUCCAGUGGCAGAAGUUCAUCAACACAACAGCGAGGGCAGCCAAGAAGAUACAAGUAGAAAGGAAAAAGACAUGAAAGGGAGGUGCAGGGUCUAAACCGUGAAAGAUUUUCUGAGUUGCAGACAUGUCAUUGUGUUUCCAGGAGGGCUGCAACUUCCACAAAACACCAAAGCUGAGUACAGCCCACCCAAAUGAUGUGUAUGCUACUUUUGCACCCAUCAUACUAUGUGGCCACCAACCCCAUGACCCUUCUACUCAUUGGCAAAUACUGGGCAAUGCUCCAGUGCACCAGAGUGACCUCCUUUAUCCCUGCAGUCCCACUGUGAAAAGCAUGUGGCUGCUGAGCGACUCUAGUAGGUGCCCCAGUGUCAGACUUUUCAGGAUCCAAUUUGGUGGCAGCACUUGGAGCCUUUGGUGUCCCUCUUCCCUGUGCCCAGCCCUGUUUCUCAGUUACUCUGAGCAGUAAUGAGCUUCUCCACCCCAGCAUGAGGACAGGCUCACAGUCAGCACAUGAAAAAGGCUGAGCUUGUGCGGGGCAACUACUUCACAGGCAGAUCACACAUCUGUGUUUUCCCUUCUUCUCUGAUGUAACUACACUAAUGACUUUUUAGAAGUAAGAAUAAGGCAGGACUAUUCUGGGUGGGCUUUCUGGGGGGAAAAAGUCACACAGCAGGAUAACUGCAGUAGACGUCAGAAAAGGAGCUCAGAAUAAAAUGCCCACCCACUCCUGUCAUUGGACCAAAUGGUUUUCUAGGCAAAAGGAUCAUUCUAACUUAGGAGAUCUUUAUAAACAAAUAGAAUCACUGUCUUAGUUAUUUUCUUCCAGGCAAACAAAACUUAAAAAAAUCAGUUCUUCCUGCUAACAUUAGUUAUUUUUCAUAAUCAGAAGGAUAAAGAGGAUUAGGCCACCAAAGAAUGUGAGUGUCCCCGGAGUUCUGUAUGGUGAGUCGCUCAGCGUUGUCUCCGUUGGCUCUGCUGUCGAGUCUGGGCUCUGGAAUAAGCCCUUGAUGCAAAUCCAGAGCUCUGCCCCUUUCCCAUUAAUGACCAUUGGCAACUUCCUCAAUACCCCCUGCUCCCAGCCUCUGUUUCUUUAUCUGUAAACUUGCACAGAGUAGUCCCAUCUGCCAGGGUUGUUAUAUGAGUUAGAAGAGAAGAUAUUUGUGUCGCAAGGAGCAUACUUUCUGGCACGUGGUCAGGGCAUCAUAAAAGAUUUGUAAGAACUGAUUUUUUGCUCAGGAAUAGCUUAAAGUCAGCUCCAAAGAACAGUAACACCACUCUUGAUCCAAGACCCAUGUUCAGCAACACCAUACCUUUGCUCUGUGUACCCAGAAAACUCAUCCUAAGUGAGAUCCACUCUCUACCAGUUCUUAAUUGGUCUCCCUGCACCAUCCUUGAACCCCUACAGCCAAUUCACAGAGCACUAGGGAGCUCUAUAUAGUAUAAGAUGUAUCAUGUCAUCUUCUCAAAAUCCACUGAUGGCUUCCUACCUCACGAUCGUGGAAUCCCAAAUCCUCACUCCAAUGCCCUGCCUGGUCUGGGCUCCACGUACCUUCCUGAUCACACUGCUCACCGCUCUCUUCUUUGCUCACCCCCUUUCAGCCAUACUAGCCUCCUCAAACACACCAAUCAUCCUCCUGCUUUGGAACCUCUAGACUUCCUACUUUUUCUGGAAUGUUAUUUCCGAUGUACCUGUAUGGCUUGCUCCUGUAUUUCAUUUAGGUUUCUGUUCAAAUAUCACAUAAUCAGAGAAAGCUUCCCUGAGCAUUCUUUUUAAAUUCUUACCCCCUACUACUCUUACCCCCUUACUGUGCUUUAUUUUCCUUCACAGAGCCUUCAAGACUUAACACAGGAAGGUUAAUGUUAUGAGCUCCAGUCCCCACUAUGACAACUGGUACCAAGGCUAUAAUUGUUAUUUAUCAUCUUCAUCUUCCACCACUCAUUCUGUAUUUCCCUUACCCUUUGUGAACACCUCAGCUGGUCUAGGUUGCUUUCCAGGUGGGGUGACUUAGAUCUGCAUCUGAAAAGGGGUCUGAGUUGCAUUAGCACCUUUGACGGAUGUUCUGCAGUUCCUAUUUGCAGUUAUCAGGCACGGAGUUACCACUAACCACCAAGAGACAGCCCACUGAAUCCCUAGGUCCCAGACUUACUUACUUCUACCCUACCAUCUUCAUUGUAUAGUAGAAACCCUAGUUCCUCAUAGCAAUCAGGGCCAGUUGAUCUUAAUAAAAAUUUCACAAGGGGUCACUAAGAAUGAUGGUAAAAGGAACCAAUCUAUUUCCACCCAUCGAUCCUUGGAACCACAUAUUCUAGCUGUUGGAGAAUUAGCACUAUUUAUUCUGUGUAUAUACUACAUGCUAGAGGAUACAGUCCAACCAUAUAGGGUGUUAUGCCCAAGUUAGUGACUUAAAUUGAGAAUUUAAUAGGCCAUUCCAUUAUUGCACUAGGCUGGAUACCUCUGCAUGAUAAAGUACAUUGUAAGAGCAAUCAGUCUCAUAGUCAUGUGCCCAUUGUCACACUACCCUUUGCUAUCAUAUGGAUCCCUUAGUCUGAGGCAAUGUUGUACGGAAUCUGAUAUCAAUAAAGAGGACAUUCCAUAAAUUUUCAGAUAGUGGUAUUGGCAACAGCACUGAGCUCAAGGAAGGAAAAGCUGUAUUCAAACUAGGUGUCAGUUCCAGUAAUGGAAUUAGGUCUGAUGUAAUUAACUUGGCACCAAGAAACUGACUAGUCUCCUCAAGGGUGGUGCCUUAUGUGUGCCAGUCUGUGCUGCUGGCAGGAUGAAUAUUCAGCCAUGGCAGGAGCUAUAUCAGCCUUGGUGAAAGGGAGUUGAUACUACUGUGUCCACAUCUAGUCUCUACCCCUGUCACCAUGGCCAUGCCAUUCAUGAACAUAUCACCAAGUACUGGAGUGGCCAUGGAAAGAGGCCCACUGACAUCCAAAAGACAGGUUAUCCUCUCUACUUGGUUGUUGACACUAUUGAUUCACUGUGGAGGAUGCUCAUGGCUAGUAACACGAGAAUCAAUAAUCUUCAGUCUUUAUGCCUUUUCUUCAUAGGCCCAUCCGUAUGCCCCUUCCCCAAACUUCCUUAUAGAGAAAACCUAUAAAAAUGGUAAUUAUUAAGCUGGUCAUCACUGUGAGCCAUUUAGAAUGUGUCUAAGAAUUGUUUACACAAGGGGCAAAAGAGAACAUCUCCAUCCACCAGUUUCCAUCCUUAUUAGUCAAGGGUUAUCCCAAAGGGUGUUAAUCCCUCUGACUGUCUAGUUUGUGAGUGCUAAACCAGUUCUGGCUGAUACCCAGUCAGGUUAUCAGAGAAGCUCAGGCUAGAGAGAAUAAUUCAUGGUCCGGCUGAGGCAAGAACUUUGGUUAUUCUUGGGCACAGCUGGUUGCUGUAGCAGAAGAUGGAAUAAAAGGUGGGCUAAAAGUAUAUGAGGCAAAGAGUAAGAGGUAUCUGAUACACCUUCAAAGCCUAGGGAAGUAGAUUCUAAGAAUGUGUUAAAUUAUGUAUUUUAGAUAAUUAGAUAAUAAGAUAUUUAGAAACACGUGCUUAUUGUAUGGUGCUGCCAGCAAAGGCAAAAGUUGUUAGCACAGGAGAUCAGUGUGGACUCAAGCUGGCAGAGAAGGAGCUAGAGACCUGAGGUGUGGCUGACAGGCAAUCAGGAUUCUGGUGAAGAGUCUCUCCAUGUUAAGGAAGAUGAAUUGUGGCUUCCCUGGAGAGGGCUGGUAGAUAGCUGGGAGAUACCCACACACAAAAAAUAGCCAGACUGCUCAGAGUACAGGGAUUCUCUUGGUUCAGAGAAAUUUUCUGCCCUGCUGCCUGCUACAAGAGAAACUACCCUCUUUGUAAUGUGAACAUGCUUUAGAGUGAGACAGAUCUGCUGUGAAUCCUAGUUUACUGCUUGGGCAAGUUCCUUAACCUCCUCAAUCUCAUUUCAGUAUUUUCAUCUGUCAUAUAGAGUAAUAAUGGUCCCUACUUUAUAGAUUUAUAAUGAGGCUUAAAUUAAUUAAUUUAUGUAAAGCACUUAAAACAGUGCAUGGCUCAUAAUAAGCCCUAAUAAAUAUCAUCUAUCAUUAUUAUUACUAUUAUUAGGGAAAGUGCAAAUAAUGGCUCUAAUAGCCAAAGGAAACCUAACUAGAACACAAUAACAGGAUUAGGAAGUAUCAGGCAUUUUGGAGAGAACAGAUAAACCAUAUUUCUAAGAAAAAUAGUUAAGAAAAAAUAUUCAGUCAUGUCUUCUGCAAAAAUUGCUCUGAGAUAUCUGAAGCAUCUCUGAGAUAGUCACUCAACAGAAAUUCCUUUUAGGUUCAAACCAAAGAAAUCUAAUGAAACAAUAGUAGCUCUGUUGACAUUAUCAGAAAAAGCAGUGGCAGAAAAACUUGAUGGUAGACUCAUCUCCUUUUGGAAUCUAUAGCGCAUAUGGGUAGCUUGGGCCUUUUCUCAUUUCUCGAGGGUAUGGCUGGAUUAGCCACGCAAAUGCAAUCUGCCUCCACAUCAGAGGAUAUUUCCAUGCAGAAAGGGCUGCAGCUGUCACUGACGACCCCCUUGUAUCCUGGGAAGGCAAUGACUUGCGAUGGCCAAGUUUUUUUUUUGAAACAAAGGCUUCUCUUCCUACCUGAGCUACCUACCAAGCUUUCUUUCUACUGAUCAUGCUUCGUGUAAAUAGAACAGAGUCUUGAAGGUGCUGGGCUCUGAAUAGGGUUGAAAGAAUACCAGAGCAUUUGGAUGUUGGUUUGACAAGUUAUCCAAAAUAUCAUGAAGAGUUUCCUUUUUCGUCUUCUGCCUUCAAGGUACGCUCUCUCCAAUGCCGCAGUUCUUUGUGAAUCUGCCUUGGCAAUUAGCAUGAAGACAUAAACGACCUUUGGCAAUCAUUAGCUCCUUAAUCAUCAUCUGCCCUCCUUUAUUCUCCAACAGAUCCUGACCCACUUCAUUUUUGUGUUAUAAAAACCUUCCAUUAUUUUUUAAGUUCACAAAAGGCCUUCUUUAAAUUUUUUCUUUUAUUAUGAAAGUAAUACUUGCUUAUUAGAAAGAAAAUCAGAUUAGAAUGGUACAAAGUGAAAAGUAAGAGUUUCCCUCCCCACUCUAUCAAGAACCACUCUCAUCCCACUCCCUACAAGUUCACCAUUGACAACAGCAAAUUGUGCAUCUAGACUUUCAACUGUACCACACCACACACACUCACACAUACGUGCCUUGCUGAAACUUAUUCAUUUUAUUGAGCAAUAUUGAAAGCAUCUUUUCAUGUGGCCACAUAAUUAAAAAAUUAUUUUUAAGAGUGCAGUGCCUUUGGUUGUACAAUAAAUUAUCUAACCAAUCCCCUAUUAAAGAAUAUUUAUGAUGUUUCCAAUUUUUUUCUAUUACAAACCAUGUCAGUAUGAACACCUUUAUAUGUAUAUCAUUGUGUGCUUUUGAAAGUGCAUCUCUAGGAUAAAUUCCCAGAAGUUAAUUUUACAGAAUUUGAGGAUUUGUAUACUUGACAUUUGGACAGACAUGGCUAAAUUUGUCUUUAAAAUUUGAACCAAUUUCCACUCCCAUUAGCAGUAUAUGAGUGUGCCUAUUAUCUCACUCCCUCCCCAGGGCCCUGGUUCCCUGAGAAGUAGCCUGGGCUUUG